ACCUGAUGAAAGAAAUGUUGUGUUCUCAGGGAGGUUCGGUCAUUUCGGUUUGGCCAUUAACCUGAUCACAUCGGAAGACCGCUUCAACCUUAAGACCAUCGAGGACCAACUGGUGACCGACAUCAAACCCAUUCCCGGCAGCAUCGAUAAGGGUCUCUAUGUGGCCGAGUUCCACUCCUCCGCCGGUGACUGCGAAGUGGAGGAAGUCCAAGAAAGAUCAGGACACCAGCAGGACCACACCUAAUGCUGGACACAGCAGGCUUUUGCACACAGGCUUCGGGCACCUCUUCAACAUCUCACUUAUUUUCACAGCCGCCACAAAAAAAAAAAAAAAAUCUUUAUUUGCGUCAAACCUCAUUUUGGUCCUUGUGAGCUUACCACUCUAUUUUUUUUUUCUCUCUAAAAGUGUCACAAAAUAUGAACAAUUCUGUUUUGAACCGGUCAUCCUUGGAAAUUGCCAGCCGAAAGGUCGAUCUCUUUAACGUCAAAACACCAGCCAUUGUUGCGUACGCUGUUACCACUUAAGUGCCUUACUUCCUGCCAUGCCAUUGACUUCAAAUUUCCAACGUCUAAGCUUUCUGUUUGCAAUAUUUUGGAUGCUCAAGAUGGAAUUGAGUUAUUCGCAAUUCCGUCGAUCUGAGGACAAAAUGAAAAUUGGCGAAUGGAUAUGCCAACUCUGCCGCAGAAUGGAUGAACGCCAAGCGCUUGAGCCUAUUACCGGACACCAUUUUGAUUUGCUGCUAGUUAAAAGCUGCCUUCAGUUUUUUUUGUGCGGCUGCAGCAAUACACAUUUCUCGUUUUGUUUGCGGCAAAUCCCAUUUUGCUAAGGAGAGGAUUAUUUUUAGUGUGGGUCGGUUGGGGUUCUGGAUUUGAAAGCAGAAUUGUAGCAUUGACGAGGCAGCUGCGACUUUUUUUUUCUUUCUUUUUUUUUUUUUUGUCCUCCCCUAACUGAGAUGAAAAAUAUAGUUUUGCAAUUUCUAUAUAUAUUUUUUUCAAUUCUUUUCUGGUGUGAGUCACGAUAAGAUGUUGGCACUGGGUUGGGGUGGGUUUCCAGUACGCAAUAGAUCAACAGAAAUUACUGGUGGAAGAAAUUUUACAUUUUAUUUUAUUUUUUUUUUACUAUUGACGUGAUUGAUUAUGGAUAUGGAUCCCUAAGUUGUAAAUUGUUUACAUGCCCCCCCCCCGCCCCUCCAAAGUAAAAUACAGUACUUAGGGUUAGGGUUAAUGGUUUUUCUUUCUUCCUUUUUGCUCAAACUGAUUUUCAGGAUUUACACUGAUGCAAAACCAAAAGAGUGAGUGAGUGAUCGAUCUACUGUGGAAACGUACAUGCAGCCUCAACCCAACUUGACGAAACCAUGUGUUAGCACUUGCGUGGUCACAACUUUAGCUCUUG